AUUGAACGCUGGCGGCAGGCCUAACACGUGCAGGUCGAGCGGUAGCACAGAGAGCUUGCUCUCGGGUGACGAGUGGCGGACGGGUGAGUAACGUCUGGGAAACUGCCCGAUGGAGGGGGAUAACUACUGGAAACGGUAGCUAAUACCGCAUAACGUCGCAAGACCAAAGUGGGGGACCUUCGGGCCUCACACCAUCGGAUGUGCCCAGAUGGGAUUAGCUAGUAGGUGGGGUAAUGGCUCACCUAGGCGACGAUCCCUAGCUGGUCUGAGAGGAUGACCAGCCACACUGGAACUGAGACACGGUCCAGACUCCUACGGGAGGCAGCAGUGGGGAAUAUUGCACAAUGGGCGCAAGCCUGAUGCAGCCAUGCCGCGUGUAUGAAGAAGGCCUUCGGGUUGUAAAGUACUUUCAGCGGGGAGGAAGGCGGUGAAGUUAAUAACUUCACCGAUUGACGUUACCCGCAGAAGAAGCACCGGCUAACUCCGUGCCAGCCGCCGCGGUAA
rnacentral:rRNA from 1 species